GUUUGGUCCCAGCCUUACUAUCAAAUCUCACUUAAUUUACACAUGCAAGUCUCCGCACUCCGGUGAAAACGCCCUUAAACUCCUCCCAGGAAAAUGGAGCCGGUAUCAGGUUCAACUCAUUAGCCCAUGACACCUAGCCAAGCCACACCCUCAAGGGUUUUCAGCAGUGAUUAACAUUAAAAAUUAGCGUAAGCUAGACUUAGUUAAAGUGAACAGAGCCGGCAAAUCCGGUGCCAGCCGCCGCGGCUACACCACGAGGCUCAAUUUGAUUUUUACCGGCGUAAAGCGUGAUUAAAGACAACAAUUAUACUAGAGCUAAAUUAUAACCACAUUGUGAUAAGUCUGUUAUUUAGAAACCCAAGAACGAAAGUCGCUCUAAACCCCCUUGAACUCACGACAGCUAAGAAACAAACUGAGAUUAGAUACCUCACUAUGCUUAGCCGUAAACCCUUUAAUUACACACAAAAUC
rnacentral:rRNA from 1 species